rnacentral:rRNA from 1 species
CCAGCUCCAAUAGCGUAUAUUAAAGUUGUUGCAGUUAAAAAGCUCGUAGUUGAAUUUCUGGGCCUCUGCCCAGUGUCUGCUUCGGCAUGACGCUGGGAGGGGUCCAUCCACACAGGGAAGGCAGGGGGCAACCCCUGUCGGACCUGUGUCCUUUACUGUGAGAAAAUUAGAGUGUUUAAAGCAGGCCUGUAGGCUUGAAUACAUUAGCAUGGAAUAAUGAGAUAGGACUUUGGUACUAUUUUGUUGGUUGCGUACUGAGGUAAUGAUUAAUAGGGACAGUUGGGGGUAUUCGUAUUUAACUGUCAGAGGUGAAAUUCUUGGAUUUGUUAAAGACGAACUACUGCGAAAGCAUUUACCAAGGAUGUUUUCA